UUGGCUGGNCCUUUCCUUCUGCGGAACCGGCAUGCCCCUUCAGUGGGUGUGAUUUCGGGAAGCAGGACUUUUACUUUGAAAAAAUUAGAGUGUUCAAAGCAGGCCUUUGCUCGAAUACAUUAGCAUGGAAUAAUAGAAUAGGACGGCGCUCCUAUUUUGUUGGUUUCUAGGAGAGCCGUAAUGAUUAAUAGGGACAGUUGGGGGCAUCCGUAUUCAGUUGUCAGAGGUGAAAUUCUUGGAUUUACUGAAGACGAACUACUGCGAAAGCAUUUGCCAAAGAUGUUUUCAUUAAUCAGUGAACGAAAGUUAGGGGAUCGAAGACGAUCAGAUACCGUCGUAGUCUUAACCAUAAACUAUGCCGACUAGGGAUCGGGCGAUGUUAUUGUAUUGACUCGCUCGGCACCUUUCGAGAAAUCAAAGUGUUUGGGUUCUGGGGGGAGUAUGGUCGNAAGGCUGAAACUUAAAGAAAUUGAC
rnacentral:rRNA from 1 species